GUACCUUUCUCGGCCUUUUGGCUAAGAUCAAGUGUAGUAUCUUCUUAUCAGUUUAAUUUCUAAUAUGUAAGGUACACUCUCACAAUGAUAUUAAAUUUAUUUUUUAUGGGGAGGGUCCAAUCACAAUGGCUUGCCACUGGACCCCUCAGGUGUCGCUCGUGUCCUUGCACUACCGCACGGGCUGGCGCACCCCAA